UUUACACAAAGCAACUUUAUCUGAACAAUACUUAGUGCAAUGCUUUCGUCGUUGUAAGUGGCCCGGGUGCUAGACGUGAUAGCAAGCCUGGAUUGGUCAAUACACCAAUCCGAUUUGAAAUUAAGCUGGCAGUCUGGCCAUUACUGGGACGCUUCCAUGCCUGAACGCCAGUCACACGUGCGUUUUGUAUAUCUCGGAACACAUCACUCAAGGGGAGUGUAUUGUGUGAAAUACCGCAGCGAGCUUUGGAGCCUCCCAGUAAUAGUGAAAAUCCGCCCCAGUAAUCACAAAGGGUCUGCAACUAUGAUUGGUCUAUACAGUGACUGGGCUGACACACAGUUUUGUUGAAUAAUUCAGGAAUAAAGGGGAUAUUGACCAACUGCCCUCGUGAACAUCCAAAGCUUACUUAAUUGGUUUAAGAGCCUGCAGGAUCUUACGAUGUGUAAAACCUGGACUUCUGGACAUAGCAUGAAAUAUCAUCCCCAAAAUAGCUACUGCCAACUGAUAUGAGACAACGUCUUGGUAUCUCGACCUUUGACAUUGACACGCCAACCUCAUCUGCAUGAGCACAUAAACUCAGACUGGUGGCUUUGAUAAUGUGAUGAAGAUAACUUCUUGUGAACGCACGAACCAUCUGAAAUGAAUCGGAACAAUCACGAAAUACCUCUGGAGUGGAUCGCUACGAAUACAGUCAAGGAAAC